GUGAAAUUGUUGAAAGGGAAACGAUUGAAGUCAGUCGUGUGUUGGGUAUUCAGCCGUCUCUGGCGGUGUACUUGCCCUUCACGGGUCAACAUCAGUUUUGUUUGGCAGAAAAAGGUGGCAGGAAGGUAGCACCUCCGGGUGUGUUAUAGCCCGCUAUUGUAUAUGUCGGAUGAGACUGAGGAAUGCAGCUCGCCCUUAUGGCCGGGGUUCGCCCACGUUCGAGCUUAGGAUGUUGACAUAAUGGCUUUAAACGACCCGUCUUGAAACACGGACCAAGGAGUC
rnacentral:rRNA from 1 species